rnacentral:snRNA from 1 species
GUGUUCGCUUCAGCAGCACAUAUACUAAAAUUGGAACGAUACAAAGAAGAUUAGCAUGGCCCCUGCGCAAGGAUGACACGAAAAUUUGUGAAGCGUUCCAUAUUUUU